AACUUUUGACAACGGAUCUCUUGGUUCUGGCAUCGCUGAAGAACGCAGCGAAAUGCGAUAAGUAAUGUGAAUUGCAGAAUUCAGUGCAUCAUCGAAUCUUUGAACGCACAUUGCGCCCGCCAGCAUUCUGGCGGGCAUGCGUGUUCGAGCGUCAUUUCAACCCGCGAGCUCCCUUUGGGGAGCCCGGCGUUGGGGACCGGCAGCUACCGCCGACCCCGAAAUACAGUGGCGGCCCGUCACGGCGACCUCGGCGUAGUAAUCCAACCUCGCACCGGGAACCCGACGCGGCCACGCCGUAAAACACCCCAAUUCUGAACGUUGACCUCGGAUCAGGUAGGAAUACCCGCUGAACUUAAGCAUAUCAAUAAGCGGAGGCU
rnacentral:misc_RNA from 1 species